UACGUAGGGACCAAGCGUUGUUCGGAUUUACUGGGCGUAAAGGGCGCGUAGGCGGCAAUUCAAGUCAGCUGUGAAAUCUCUGGGCUUAACCCAGAACGGCCAGCUGAUACUGCUUUGCUAGAGUGCAGAAGGGGCAAUCGGAAUUCUUGGUGUAGCGGUGAAAUGCGCAGAUAUCAGGAGGAACACCGGUGGCGAAGGCGGCUUGCUGGGCCUUACCUGACGCUGAGGAGCGAAAGCGUGGGGAGCGAACAGG
rnacentral:rRNA from 1 species